rnacentral:sRNA from 1 species
ACGAUUGGGAAACUCUUCAAUUUUAUCUGAAAUACCGAGACAAGCUUAGCCGCCCGAUGGCGGGCCUCAUUCCCUUCGGGGAAGGCACCUGUGCCCGGAGGAUUACAAAGGACGGCGAGCACUCAAAUCCUGUCACUCGGAGUUUCAUCAUCCUGCUCUGAUGUGGCUUUUUU